rnacentral:rRNA from 1 species
CGGACGGGCGAGUAACACGUAGUCAGCACCUCGAGACGGGGAUAACCUCGGGAAACCGAGGCUAAGACCCGAUGGUCCUUCGGGAGCGCAUGUUCCUGACGGUAAAUGGAGGGGUCCUUCGGGACCUUCUUGCUCGAGGAGGUGACUGCGGCCCAUCAGUUAGUUGGCGGGGUAACGGCCACCAAGACUACGACGGGUAGCCGGCCUUAGAGGGUGGUCGGCCGCACUGGGACUGAGACACUGCCCAGACUCCUACGGGAGGCUGCAGUCGAGAAUCUUCCGCAAUGGGCGAAAGCCUGACGGAGCGACGCCGCGUGGAGGACGAAGGCCUUCGGGUUGUAAACUCCUGUCACGGGUUAAGAAUGGUGCAGGAUGAACAAUGCUGCAUUUGACGUAAGCCCGAGAGGAAGCACUGGCUAACUCUGUGCCAGCAGCCGCGGUAAUACAGAGAGUGCGAACGUUGUUCGGAAUUACUGGGCUUAAAGCGCACGUAGCGGCGCCGCAAGUGCGAGGUGAAAUCCCAGGUUACCCGUGGAACUGCUUGCAGACUGCGGUGCUCGAGGAUGGUAGGGGAAAGCGGAACUCCUGGUGGAACCGGUG